ACUAUAAAAACGUUAGAUCUAUAUAUCCACCCUAGCCUUGCUCAUGGUAGAAACAUAGCCUUUUUUGCAAUAAGCCAAGAAUUUAGUAAAUCAGUCCAGGGCCUCAAGUCUGCUAUUACAAUAGUGUCAGAAUGGUCUAUCAUUGAUUUCAAAAUUGUUGAUUUUGACAAGUUUGGUAAUCUACUAUUAUAAUGGUGUCAUUAUGACUUUCCAAUGGUCAACCACUGACAUUCCAUUGAAAGAAAUGGCUUAGAAUGGUAAUCUCGUACAUAAUGACAAAUGAAUGACUGACGUAUGGGGUAAUCUGCUAAAAUUUUGACAGUUCCUUUGAUCAUUGACCUACCAUUGGAUCGUCAUUGUGCAGUCAUUGCUUAUAAUAGCUCGGUUGUCGAAAAGAGUUUGUUAUCUAUCGUGUUUGUAUUGUACUUUGUGAAAUAUUGAGUGGAGAAAUGUAUUCACUACGAGCAAAUAUUCUCGAGCUAGCCGCAGUGGAUGCUAGAGAAAGAAGACGGGCGGAAUGCAAAAGACGUCGUCGAGCCCGUCGCUUGACGAGAAUUAGUACAAACCCCUUUAUUGAUAUUUCCGAGGCGGAAUUUGUAAAAACGUUUCGCCUUGGAAAGGACUCAGUAAGGGGGUUAAUUGAAGAACUCAUUCCCCUUAUGGCCAGACCGCGUCGAAACGAUAGCAUAUCGGCAGAAAUGAAGAUUCUAAUAGCACUUGCAUUUUAUGCAUCAGGGUCCUAUCAAACUUUGAUUGGACAGAGUGCCCUCCAUAAUGUUGCACAAAUUACUGUGUCAAGAUCAAUUAAUGAAGUGACAAAGGCACUCAAUAAAAUAUACCACAAAUAUAUUAAAUGGCCUACACAGAUUUGCGAUGCUGAUUUAAAUAUUUUAUGUGUGGACGCAAGCAGCCCAGGCUCUGCACAUGAUUCCACUGUAUGGCAGAAUCAUCCACUCAGUCACCACUUAAAGGAAAUUACAGAAAAUACUAAUGAACAAGUAUUUUUAUUAGGUGACAGUGGGUAUCCACUAAGGAAAACAAUGAUGACUCCAAUCCUUAAUACUAUAGAUGGGACACCACAACACCAUUAUUAUGUGAAACAUGUGACUGCACGUAAUACAGUGGAGCGUUGCAUAGGUGUAUUAAAAGCACGUUUCAGGUGUUUGCUUGUAGCACGUACUUUACAUUAUAGCCCAACAACUGCAGGCAAGAUUGUGAAUGCAUGUUGCAUAUUGCACAAUAUUGCAAACAUGGCAAGAGCACCGUUGCCACCUGAUGAAGUUUAUGCAGAAGCACUCCGCUUGCAACAGGAGGAAAAUAAUUAUGCAGCACCUAAUUAUCAAGACCAUCGAAGGGUGAACCGGGAUCUUCUUGAAGGUCGGGCACUGCAGCAGGCUCUUGUUGACAGACUGUGGAGAAAUGCAUAAAUUAAAUUAGCAGAUCCACAGUAUUGCACAAAACAGAUUUAAAAUAAAUUCUUUGGAAUUGGAAGUGGCUCUCCUACAUCUCGCCCUAAUAUUGAGUAUAAGCGCUCUUGGAGUGGGGUUAAUGAUAUUUUUUUUGCAGGACCACCACCUUAAAUGCAAAUUAUACAAUAUUAUUACUAUAUGCUUUCCACUAUAAUUCAGCAAGGCUGCCAGAAGAAAAGAAUUGCUUACCUGUUGCACUUAUUUCACUCUUCUGUGAUUUAAUUUUCUUUAAGGUUUUGCUUUUGUAUUCAUUGUAGAACUAAAAAAGUGCAAAAAUUAUAUUAAUGAUACAUUUUGCAUACCUAUUAUUAAAUAAUACUGUAUAUAGGUACUUACUGUGCGCCAUUCUGCGGGAGUUUUAUUGGGGCAGUCCACCGAUAUGGAAUUUAAAAUUUGGGCGCAUUCCAUCCAAUAUCUUUUGCUUAAACUUCGCCCUUCAUUGGUGCGGCUGCAGUAGCCAAGCGCCAGGUCUUGGUGGUUUUCCAAAAAAUCAAUUAGAGCCGAAAUUUGCUCUAUUAGCACCAUUUUUCAAUAUUAUAAAUAAAUAAAACACAAUGAAAAUAAAUAGCUAAACACCGGCCGCUAGAAUUGUAAACAAGUAGUAAUGUCACAUUUGACUUUGACAGCUAAACAGAUAAAACAUUAUUGAGUUUCACUUUUAUCCGCGUUACACAUUUUAAUGUUUUUGCUAUUUACGAACUUCUUACUACUUCAGAUUGCUUAUAACAUUAUUAAAUAAUAUGUAAAAAUGUUUAAAAAUGAAAUCUGGCAUGAGUAAAUGUUAAAAUUUAGUAGUAGUUUUUCGAAAAUCAUUUCUACUACCGGGUUUUAUAAUAAUGGCAAUACGACAAUGUCAUUCUGCCACGAUUCCAUUACGAGACCACUGACCGACCACUGAUCGACCAUUAUGAAUUUAGCAGAUUACAAACUUUUAUCAAAAUGACAAUGGGAUCGUGUUGGAAUGACGAAUUUAUAAAAAAUAGCAGACUUGGGGCCCAGUUGUUUCGGAGCCUACUCAAUAAAAACCUUUCCUCUUUAUGCAAAUAAAUAUAUGAUAUAUAAGUGCAGAUGUAUGCUAGACUUUAAAUACCCACAAUAAUGUUAUGGUUUAUUCUCAAUUUCAGGUCUUGUCAAGAAAAAGGCAAAAGGUGGAUCAGAAAAUGAAA